GUAAGGAAUAUUGGUCAAUGGGCGCAAGCCUGAACCAGCCAUCCAGCGUGCAGGAAGAAGGCCCUACGGGUUGUAAACUGCUUUUGUCAGGGAAGAAACCUUUGGAUUUACUCCGAAGCUGACGGUACCUGAAGAAUAAGCACCGGCUAACUCCGUGCCAGCAGCCGCGGUAAUACGGAGGGUGCGAGCGUUAUCCGGAAUUACUGGGUUUAAAGGGUGCGUAGGCGGCUAUGUAAGUCAGGAGUGAAAGUUUGCGGCUCAACCGUAAAAUUGCUUUUGAUACUGCAUGGCUGGAAUUAGGAUGAGGUCAGCGGAAUGUGGCAUGUAGCGGUGAAAUGCAUAGAUAUGCCAUAGAACACCAAUUGCGAAGGCAGCUGGCUAGACCUGGAUUGACGCUGAGGCACGAAAGCGUGGGGAGCGAACAGGAUUAGAUACCCUAGUAGUCC
rnacentral:rRNA from 1 species